GCAGCCUGUGGCACAGUGGUUUGAGCACUGGAUUAGGACACUGGAGACCAGGGUUCGAUUCUCAGCUCUGCC